rnacentral:rRNA from 1 species
AGCAAACAGGAUUAGAUACCUGGUAGUCCACGCUGUAAACGAUGUCGAUUUGGAGUUUGGGGGCAUGACCCUUGGGCUCCGGAGCUAACGCGUCAAAUCGACCGCUGGGGAGUACGGCCGCAAGGUUAAAACUCAAAUGAAUUGACGGGGGCCCGCACAAGCGGUGGAGCAUGUGGUUUAAUUCGAUGCAACGCGAAGAACCUUACCUGGUCUUGACAUCCAUAGAAUCUUUCAGAGAUGAGAGAGUGCCUUCGGGAGCUAUGAGACAGGUGCUGCAUGGCUGUCGUCAGCUCGUGUUGUGAAAUGUUGGGUUAAGUCCCGCAACGAGCGCAACCCCUAUCCUUUGUUGCCAGCACGUAAUGGUGGGAACUCAAAGGAGACUGCCGUUGAUAAAGCGGAGGAAGGUGGGGACGACGUCAAGUCAUCAUGGCCCUUACGACCAGGGCUACACACGUGCUACAAUGGCGUAUACAAAGGGAUGCGAAGGUGCGAACUGGAGCGGACCUCACAAAGUACGUCUAAGUCCGGAUUGGAGUCUGCAACUCGACUCCAUGAAGUCGGAAUCGCUAGUAAUCGUGAAUCAGAAUGUCACGGUGAAUACGUUCCCGGGCCUUGUACACACCGCCCGUCACACCAUGGGAGUGGGUUGCACCAGAAGUAGAUAGCUUAACCUUCGGGAGGGCGUUUACCACGGUGUGGUUCAUGACUGGGGUGAAGUCGUAACAAGGUAACCA